rnacentral:misc_RNA from 1 species
UUUCCGUAGGUGAACCUGCGGAAGGAUCAUUAGUAAAUUGAAUAUGUUAGCGGACCUCUUCGAAGUCCCUAGCAUCAAAUCAUAUCCAUAACACCUGUGAACUGUAAGGCUGUCUUUAAAACGAAAGUUAUUGGAUCUCCUGCACAUCUUAUACAAACCAUUAAAGUAACAAACAUAGUCUUAUUAAAAUCUAAUAAAACUUUCAACAACGGAUCUCUUGGCUCUC